AGCGGGGGGUGAUGGCUUGCCUCACCUGCCGGCGACCGGCGCACGGGUGAGUAACACGUAUGCAACCUGCCCGCCACAGGGGGAUAAGCGGAAGAAAUUCCGUCUAAUACCGCGUGACGCGGCGCCGGGGCAUCCCGGUGCCGCCAAAGGGAUUACCGGUGGCGGAUGGGCAUGCGGCGCAUUAGCUAGUCGGCGGGGUAACGGCCCACCGAGGCGACGAUGCGUAGGGGUUCUGAGAGGAAGGUCCCCCACACUGGUACUGAGACACGGACCAGACUCCUACGGGAGGCAGCAGUGAGGAAUAUUGGUCAAUGGGCGCGAGCCUGAACCAGCCAAGUCGCGUGAGGGAUGACGGUCCUACGGAUUGUAAACCUCUUUUGCCGGGGAGCAAGCGUGCGUUCGUGAACGCGCGUCGAGAGUACCCGGAGAAAAAGCAUCGGCUAACUCCGUGCCAGCAGCCGCGGUAAUACGGAGGAUGCGAGCGUUAUCCGGAUUUAUUGGGUUUAAAGGGUGCGUAGGCGGGAUGCCAAGUCAGCGGUAAAAAUGCGGUGCUCAACGCCGUCGAGCCGUUGAAACUGGCGUUCUUGAGUGGGCGAGAAGUAUGCGGAAUGCGUGGUGUAGCGGUGAAAUGCAUAGAUAUCACGCAGAACUCCGAUUGCGAAGGCAGCAUACCGGCGCCCUACUGACGCUGAGGCACGAAAGCGUGGGUAUCGAACAGGAUUAGAUACCCUGGUAGUCCACGCAGUAAACGAUGAAUGCUAACUGUCCGGCUCGAAUGAGCGCUGGGCGGUAC
rnacentral:rRNA from 1 species